rnacentral:rRNA from 1 species
AGUGAACGCUGGCGGUAUGCCUAACACAUGCAAGUCGAACGGCAGCACAGUAAGAGCUUGCUCUUACGGGUGGCGAGUGGCGGACGGGUGAGGAAUACAUCGGAAUCUACUUUUUCGUGGGGGAUAACGUAGGGAAACUUACGCUAAUACCGCAUACGACCUACGGGUGAAAGCAGGGGAUCUUCGGACCUUUCGCGAUUGAAUGAGCCGAUGUCGGAUUAGCUAGUUGGCGGGGUAAAGGCCCACCAAGGCGACGAUCCGUAGCUGGCCUGAGAGGAUGAUCAGCCACACUGGAACUGAGACACGGUCCAGACUCCUACGGGAGGCAGCAGUGGGGAAUAUUGGACAAUGGGCGCAAGCCUGAUCCAGCCAUACCGCGUGGGUGAAGAAGGCCUUCGGGUUGUAAAGCCCUUUUGUUGGGAAAGAAAAGCAGCAGGUUAAUCCCCCGCUGUUCUGACGGUACCCAAAGAAUAAGCACCGGCUAACUUCGUG